GUAUCAUAUUAAGUUUGAGACUUAUUCAUUAUAUAGCUGAGGUAUCAUUUUAGAUGACAUUGGCCUGGAAACAACGCUUGACAAGUUAAUGCAACUCUAUAUUCUUCUUAUAUGACGAUAUCUAAAGGUAAUAAAUCUGUUCACAACUAUAAAAUUUGAGCAACAAUUAUAUAUAUAUAUAUAUAUAUAUAUAUGUAUAUAAACAUAAAAUGGGUAACAUAGUUUAAUGAUGGAGUAUUGACUCUCUAAAUCCUCUUUCUACUUUGUGCUAAUUUAGUUUCUGUACAGUUUUCUUUCCUGAAGUUGGUGGAGUGACAUUUGCUUCUCAUUAUGCAUUCGUUGUCGUGUAUAGAAUGAAUAAAAGCGUUGACCUUGGUGGGUCAGAAGAAGAAAUUUAUCAAUUUCUAUUAUAACCCUCAAUUAAUGUGCAAGUCAGAAGGUAAGAGUUAUUAAAAGAAAUUAUUUGAUAAAGACUUUUCCAAUAGUAUGGUUGAAUUUAUGUUUUCAUGUAAUGGAAAUACAAGUACAUGAACUCUUACAAAUUUUUGUAAUCUUAUGAAAUCAAGACAAGUCAUUUAAUUAUAUUGGAUCUUGACAUUUUUUUUAAGUAGCCAU
rnacentral:lncRNA from 1 species